CCAGCUCCAGGAUACCUCACCUGCUUUUCAGAGGAUAAAGAAGGCGUGGCAGCAGGCACCCUGGCAGUAGAUCUUAUAUCCUUUCAUCCAGGUCGACUCUGGUUUACCCGUGACAGUAACUGGAUGUUCCUGGAUGUCAUACUGGAUCCACAGUUUCCUCUGGAGCUGGUGGGGCACCUCGAAUUGGGGAAUCUUCAUCUCUCCCCUCACAGCCCAGGAAGUGGCAGUACAAGUGAGGAGGGGGCCCCUCGGAAAGGACUUCAUUGGUGUACCCUUCUCUACCCAGGAGAGAAGUCUGGGUUUGCUGUACAGGGACAGUGGUGCUUCUUUUUUACAGACAAUGCUUUUAUUCCCUGUCCUUUCUGGGAAAUAAAAGAUUUCUCAGGGAUCAGAGUUUUACGGAGGAGAGUCUGAAAAUUUUUGUUGAGCAGGAAAAACGAUACUGAAGAGAGGUUCAUUUUCAGAAGAUUCAUUUCAACUAACACCUUUGAAAAACUGCCAAAAUCUCAUGUGUUUACAAGUAAGAGAUACUAUUUCCUUUAUUUCAGAGAGAGCAGGUUAAUAGCCCGAUCUUUCCAAUCCAAUGCAAAGAGACCAUAAAGAGAGCUGAGGCAGCAGUUUAUCUUAGCCCCACACAAACCUGGCUCUCCUUUGAGAUUUAUUCCUGUAAACUGACAGCCACAAGCUCCAAAUCAUGAAGCUGAAGUGCACAAAAAAAAUCUUUUUACUGUAUUAAGGAGUAACUUGCAUAAUAUUAAGCUUCUAAGAUUUCUAUUUCUAAUUUUAUCAUGGCCUUUUUUUUUAAGAUUUUGUCAUGCAGUAAGUAGAGCAGAGUCACAUCCUUGCAUCUUGUGAUGAGGUAUGAAGUCAGCUGAGUCCUAGUGUGAAAAAAGGAAACAAAGCGUUUCUAGUUCACUUCAAACACUUCUUUUAAUUGUGGUUCAUUUAAUUCAUCAUGGGCCUGUCAGAUUUGAGGCAACAGAAUAAACAGACUUUCAGAGAUGCUGUUGGCUCCAAACAUGACUCCUUUUACUGAAACAAUUUUUAGUUCUGUUUGUUUGCUACAGAAUAUUUUCCUCACUGUUGUUUUUAUGCUGAACUGAGACUUGGCAAUGUUUCCCGUUGGAAUGUAACACUGUCGUGUCAGGUCGAAAGGGAAAAUGCCAGUUGGUGCUUCCCAGUGGUUGUACACACAUAAUGUUAUGUCCUUUCAUUGAACUCAGCCUUCAUUCCUGAGAAAGAACUGUUAUUUUAGCUUGCAUCACUGCAGAUAUUAUCAGUUAUAAACAUAUGCAGCUUUUUAUAAGCUUUAUGUUCAACAAAGAAAAAUGUAUAUUAACCUUGUCAUAAAAUAUUAUCAGCUCUUACUUUCCAGAGCCAAUCUUCCUUUUUCUUCCUCCCUUCCUUCCCUCCUUCUUCCCUUCUUUCCUUCUUCUGUCUAACCUCUCAUAUUGGAUUUUUUCAGGGGAUGGGCAGAGGAGGAGGGAGGUAAUAGUAAGGCCUAGACCUUGGACCAGAUUUAUACUAAGCUUUGACAGUAAUUGCCUGUAUAACUAGUUCAAGUAAAGCCCUCUUGUGUCUUUUGUUUCUAAUAUAGAGAUGAAUAAUUCUUACCUUUUUCUGUAAACCCUUUAAAGAGUAUCUGUUUAAAAAUCUAUUAUUAUCUUUGCUAGAAUCUCUCCAACUAGUGUUUAGAAGCUUUUAGAGAAUGAGAGGGUAGGAUUAAUUCAUUCUUUGAUUUUACUUUGUAUCUCAGUCUUUUGAAUGACAGAAAUGCAAUGCCCAUUACCUUGGAGAUGGACACAUCUGCAAAUCUAUUAGAGUUAAGUAACAGAGUACUGCUUGCACAAGCUGUAAUUUAAAGGUUGAAAAAUCUUGCAUCAUCCCUGAAAUAUAAAACCACAGAUGCUCCGUUUCCCAACACUGCAUUUUACAAAGCUCUGGGCCAGCUCCCUAAGUAAUUCCUUACACGGUGGUAUUUAGUCCUUUUUAAGGGAAAUUAUGUAAUUCAAUGUAUUAUCUCUUUUAUUUCAAUAUGAAUUGGUCUCAAUAAAGACAAAUUUAAAAUUA